AGCAGCCGCGGUAAUUCCAGCUCCAAUAGCGUAUAUUAAAGUUGUUGCAGUUAAAAAGCUCGUAGUUGAAUUUCGGGAUCAGUUCGCUGGUCGUGCCUUCGGUAUGUACUGGUGUUACUGGUUCCUACCUUCUGACGAACCGUCAUGUCAUUAAUUUGGUGUGGCGGGGAAUCAGGACUGUUACUUUGAAAAAAUUAGAGUGUUUAAAGCAGGCUCGCGCUUGAAUACAUUAGCAUGGAAUAAUGAAAUAGGACGUUCGAUCCUAUUUUGUUGGUUUCUAGGAUUGACGUAAUGAUUAAUAGGGAUAGUUGGGGGCAUUAGUAUUCAAUUGUCAGAGGUGAAAUUCUUGGAUUUAUUGAAGACUAACUACUGCGAAAGCAUUUGCCAAGGAUGUUUUCAUUAAUCAAGAACGAAAGUUAGGGGAUCGAAGACGAUCAGAUACCGUCGUAGUCUUAACCAUAAACUAUGCCGACUAGGGAUCGGAUGAUGUUAAUUUUUUAAUGACUCAUUCGGCGCCUUA
rnacentral:sRNA from 1 species